UAUUUUUGAUUUUUUGACAUU
rnacentral:piRNA from 1 species